rnacentral:rRNA from 1 species
CCUACGGGUGGCAGCAGUGAGGAAUAUUGGUCAAUGGACGAGAGUCUGAACCAGCCAAGUAGCGUGAAGGAUGACUGCCCUAUGGGUUGUAAACUUCUUUUAUAUGGGAAUAAAAUGUUCCACGUGUGGGAUUUUGUAUGUACCAUAUGAAUAAGGAUCGGCUAACUCCGUGCCAGCAGCCGCGGUAAUACGGAGGAUCCGCGCGUUAUCCGGAUUUAUUGGGUUUAAAGGGAGCGUAGGUGGAUUGUUAAGUCAGUUGUGAAAGUUUGCGGCUCAACCGUAAAAUUGCAGUUGAAACUGGCAGUCUUGAGUACAGUAGAGGUGGGCGGAAUUCGUGGUGUAGCGGUGAAAUGCUUAGAUAUCACGAAGAACUCCGAUUGCGAAGGCAGUUCACUGGACUGCAACUGACACGGAGGCUCGAAAGUGUGGGUAUCAAACAGGAUUAGAUACCCUGGUAGUC